AGUGAACGCUGGCGGUAGGCCUAACACAUGCAAGUCGAACGGCAGCACAGUAAGAGCUUGCUCUUACGGGUGGCGAGUGGCGGACGGGUGAGGAAUACAUCGGAAUCUACUUUUUCGUGGGGGAUAACGUAGGGAAACUUACGCUAAUACCGCAUACUACCUACGGGUGAAAUCAGGGGAUCUUCGGACCUUGCGCGAUUGAAUGAGCCGAUGUCGGAUUAGCUAGUUGGCGGGGUAAAGGCCCACCAAGGCGACGAUCCGUAGCUGGUCUGAGAGGAUGAUCAGCCACACUGGAACUGAGACACGGUCCAGACUCCUACGGGAGGCAGCAGUGGGGAAUAUUGGACAAUGGGCGCAAGCCUGAUCCAGCAAUACCGCGUGGGUGAAGAAGGCCUUCGGGUUGUAAAGCCCUUUUGUUGGGAAAGAAAAGCAGCAGGUUAAUACCCCGCUGUUCUGACGGUACCCAAAGAAUAAGCACCGGCUAACUUCGUG
rnacentral:rRNA from 1 species